rnacentral:lncRNA from 1 species
CAAUAAGGCUGAGGUCUUUGACCACUGAGUACUCUGUCCAGCGAUCUGCAGGUUUCACAAAUCAAGUCCCUUCCGGUGGAUUAUAAUCAUACUGAUCUCAUGACCUUAGUAAACUAGAGGGCUGCAAUCAAAGGGGAGAAGAACGGAGAUUGCUUACUGAGAGGAUCUGAUGCAAGCACAGGUUUGGGGAUGUCUGUCGGGACACCAGGGCCAUAUUCAUUGACAGCAGUUACUCGGAAGAAAUACUCGUUCCCAGGGACAAGGUUGUUUACGGCUGUGAUAGAAUAUAAGCCAGUGUCACUCCGGCGAGACUGAGGAAUGACUAAAGUGCAAGUGUCAUCCACCACCUGUUUGUUGACAUGGGUGUCAUAAACAACAGGCUCUUUGCUGUCGGGUUUCUUUGGCGGAGCCUUGAACCAGCAGUGUUAGUGACUUCUUCCCAUUCGGACUUCUUCCUGCUGGCAUCACGCUUGUCAAUGAUGUAAUGAGUAAUUUCACUGCCUCCAUUGUCUAGAGGGGCAUCCCACGUCAAAUAGCAAGACUCAGCUUUGAUGUCAGUAACAGCGAGGUUUCUGGGUGGAGAUGGACGAUCUGGGAAGGAACAGCAGAUGGGACUGAGACAUCAUUCAUGAACAGGAAGUGGCUUUCUUUCCCACAUAGGAGGCAAGUCUCUUACCAUAAACCUCCACAUGAACGUUGCGGAAUACGGAGCCAAGACGAUUGGAAGCUGUGAUUGUGUACGUGCCCUUGUCCUCUCGGGCUGCUUUAGGGAUGCUAAGCUCAGUCUUUGCCUCACUUCGGGAGACUUCUUCUUUGGUUAUAUUCAGUGUAUCCGUAGGUUUAUCAAUCACCUUUUCAUUCUUGGACCACUCAAUCUUAGGCAUGGGGAGGCCGGUCACGUCUGCAGG